GAUGAACGCUGGCGGCGUGCCUAAUACAUGCAAGUCGAGCGAACGGACGAGAAGCUUGCUUCUCUGAUGUUAGCGGCGGACGGGUGAGUAACACGUGGAUAACCUACCUAUAAGACUGGGAUAACUUCUGGAAACCGGAGCUAAUACCGGAUGAUAUUUUGAACCGCAUGGUUCAAAAGUGAAAGACGGUCUUGCUGUCACUUAUAGAUGGAUCCGCGCUGCAUUAGCUAGUUGGUAAGGUAACGGCUUACCAAGGCAACGAUGCAUAGCCGACCUGAGAGGGUGAUCGGCCACACUGGAACUGAGACACGGUCCAGACUCCUACGGGAGGCAGCAGUAGGGAAUCUUCCGCAAUGGGCGAAAGCCUGACGGAGCAACGCCGCGUGAGUGAUGAAGGUCUUCGGAUCGUAAAACUCUGUUAUUAGGGAAGAACAUAUGUGUAAGUAACUGUGCACAUCUUGACGGUACCUAAUCAGAAAGCCACGGCUAACUACGUG
rnacentral:rRNA from 1 species